rnacentral:rRNA from 1 species
AUAUUGUUAAGCGGAGGAAAAGAAACCAACAGGGAUUCCCCUAGUAGCGGCGAGCGAAGAGGGACGAGCUCAGACCCGAAUUCCGAGGCGGCGAAAGCAGCUUGGAAAUUGUAGUUUCAGCGGCAGUUUUCUGGUGAGGGAGAGCGGACAAGUCUGCUGGAACGCAGCGCCAUAGAGGGUGACAGCCCCGUACUCCGCAAGACCGAAGCCUAUGGGGAUUGCUGGCAGAGUCGCAUUGCUUGAGAGUGCAGUGCAAACAUGGGAGGUAAACCCCUUCCAAGCUAAAUACGAUCAAGAGACCGAUAGCGCACAAGUA